CUGAACUGGAACUUGGAACUCACCCAGUGGCUGGUCAACAAAGGUUCAGGAAUAAGACUCACCCUUAGAACUCCUUGGCAUCUGGAGAAUGAAGGAGGCCACUGCAAUUCUUUUCUGAACAACCUCUUCUAUAGUAUGUCCACCGCAUCCUCUCAGGCUCUCCUUACUGACUGUACAUGAAAGCUGCUUGAUGAAUAUUCUCAAAAGUCACUUUUCC
rnacentral:lncRNA from 1 species